GACGAACCGAGCGAACGUUGUUCGGAAUCACUGGGCUUAAAGAGCGCGCAGGCGGUCGAUCAAGUCGAGUGUGAAAGCCCCCGGCUCAACUGGGGAGGGUCAUUCGAUACUGAUCGACUGGAAGGCAGGAGAGGGAAGCGGAAUUCCCGGUGUAGUGGUGAAAUGCGUAGAUAUCGGGAGGAACACCAGUGGCGAAGGCGGCUUCCUGGCCUGUUCUUGACGCUGAGGCGCGAAAGCUAGGGGAGCAAACGGG
rnacentral:rRNA from 1 species